GCCGGCUUAGCUCAGUUGGUUAGAGCGCGCCCUUCGUAAGGGUGAGGUCGCGAGUUCGAAUCUCGCAUUCGGCU